rnacentral:rRNA from 1 species
GAUGAACGCUGGCUACAGGCUUAACACAUGCAAGUCGAGGGGAAACGGCGUUGAGUGCUUGCACUGAAUGGACGUCGACCGGCGCACGGGUGAGUAACGCGUAUCCAACCUUCCCGUUACUGCGGGAUAACCUGCCGAAAGGCAGACUAAUACCGCAUGUUCUUCGAUGACGGCAUCAGAUUCGAAGCAAAGACUCGUCGGUAACGGAGGGGGAUGCGUCUGAUUAGCUUGUUGGCGGGGCGACGGCCCACCAAGGCGACGAUCAGUAGGGGUUCUGAGAGGAAGGUCCCCCACAUUGGAACUGAGACACGGUCCAAACUCCUACGGGAGGCAGCAGUGAGGAAUAUUGGUCAAUGGGCGGAAGCCCGAACCAGCCAAGUAGCGUGCAGGACGACGGCCCUACGGGUUGUAAACUGCUUUUAUGCGGGGAUAAAGUGAGGGACGCGUCCCUUUUUGCAGGUACCGCAUGAAUAAGGACCGGCUAAUUCCGUGCCAGCAGCCGCGGUAAUACGGAAGGUCCGGGCGUUAUCCGGAUUUAUUGGGUUUAAAGGGAGCGUAGGCCGGGGAUUAAGUGUGUUGUGAGAUGUAGGCGCCCAACGUCUGACUUGCAGCGCAUACUGGUUCCCUUGAGUACGCGCAACGCCGGCGGAAUUCGUCGUGUAGCGGUGAAAUGCUUAGAUAUGACGAAGAACCCCGAUUGCGAAGGCAGCCGGCGGGAGCGCAACUGACGCUGAAGCUCGAAGGUGCGGGUAUCGAACAGG